rnacentral:rRNA from 1 species
UGGCGGCGUGCCUAACACAUGCAAGUCGAACGAGAAAGUGGAGCAAUCCAUGAGUAAAGUGGCGACCGGGUGAGUAACACGUGACUAACCUACCUCCGAGUGGGGAAUAACUCCGGGAAACCGGGGCUAAUACCGCAUAACAUCGCGAGAUCAAAGCAGCAAUGCGCUUGGAGAGGGGGUCGCGGCUGAUUAGCUAGUUGGCGGGGUAACGGCCCACCAAGGCGAAGAUCGGUAUCCGGCCUGAGAGGGCGCACGGACACACUGGAACUGAAACACGGUCCAGACUCCUACGGGAGGCAGCAGUGGGGAAUUUUGCGCAAUGGGGGAAACCCUGACGCAGCAACGCCGCGUGGAGGAUGAAGCCCUUUGGGGCGUAAACUCCUUUCGACCAAGACGAUAAUGACGGUACUGGUGGAAGAAGCACCGGCUAACUCUGUGCCAGCAGCCGCGGUAAUACAGAGGGUGCAAGCGUUGUUCGGAAUUAUUGGGCGUAAAGGGCGCGUAGGCGGUGCCACAAGUCACUUGUGAAAUCUCCGGGCUUAACUCGGAGUCUGCAGGCGAAACUGUGGUGCUGGAGUGUGGGAAAGGUGCGUGGAAUUCCCGGUGUAGCGGUGAAAUGCGU